AGGAUCAUUACCAGUGAAGUGCCCGCGCCCUCGUGGCCGGGUGCCCACCCACCCGUGUUUACAUACUCUUGUUGCUUUGGCAGGCCGUGCUCUGCACUGCGGGCUCUGCUCGUGUGUGCCUGCCAGAGGACCAAACUCUGAAUGUUAGUGAUGUCUGAGUACUAUAUAAUAGUUAAAACUUUCAACAACGGAUCUCUUGGUUCUGGCAUCGAUGAAGAACGCAGCGAAAUGCGAUAAGUAAUGUGAAUUGCAGAAUUCAGUGAAUCAUCGAAUCUUUGAACGCACAUUGCGCCCUGUGGUAUUCCGCAGGGCAUGCCUGUUCGAGCGUCAUUAUAACCAAUCAUGCCUGGCAUGGUGUUGGGGCACGCGGUCUCGCGGCCCUCAAAAGCAGUGGCGGCGCCGGUAGUCUCUAAGUGUACCAAUUGACUCCUUAUAAAAACCGGAGGGUUCCGUAGGGAACCUGCGGAUAG
rnacentral:rRNA from 1 species